GGAUUUAGCUCAGUGAUAGAGUGCUUGCCUAGCAAGCGCAAGGCCCUGGGUUCGAUCCCCAGGUCCA
rnacentral:tRNA from 1 species